rnacentral:rRNA from 1 species
UACGAAGGGGGCUAGCGUUGCUCGGAAUCACUGGGCGUAAAGGGUGCGUAGGCGGGUUUUUAAGUCAGAGGUGAAAUCCUGGAGCUCAACUCCAGAACUGCCUUUGAUACUGAAAGUCUUGAGUAUGGGAGAGGUGAGUGGAACUGCGAGUGUAGAGGUGAAAUUCGUAGAUAUUCGCAAGAACACCAGUGGCGAAGGCGGCUCACUGGCCCAUAACUGACGCUGAGGCACGAAAGCGUGGGGAGCAAACGGGG